UUUCCGAGCCCACACCACCCUCUGUAAUAUCCUCUUAUAUUUUUGUCAUUAAUUUUUCUCUCCAUGGCACAUUUUGCGAGAAGCUGAUCAUAGAGCGGCAACGUCUUUAAUCAGGCUCCACGGGCUGUAAAGUGAGAGAAUCUGAACGUGACGUCAAUGCCUAGUAACUGACGCAGCCCUUCAACAAAAAUGGCCUUUUUAAUUUAUUAUUUUCUUUCCUUCUCGUCAGCAAAGCUUAAUUGCAAAUUUUCUCACAACGCCCCAUCGGCUGAAAGAACAAAUCGUUUUAUGUUCCUUAGUAUUUGAAGCUGUAUGUCUUUUUUGCGUUCAUGAGUUUCUCGCUGCUGAAGUGACACCGGGACGAGAAGCUUCUGAUGAAGGCGACAAGACAUCAGAUAGUCGAUGAUACUGGCGACGACGACGAGUUCCACACUUCAGUUGUUUAGGAAGGGGGAAGUGUAGUGAGAUUUCUGGGAGAGACGGAGCUUGUGGUGCGGCUGGUGGAGGCACACUGGGUUCCAAAAAAAAAAAAUGACUGCAAUGAUGCAACGGAGGGAUAUCGUGUCUCCUGUGCAGAGUUGGAGAGGCACAAUUAAUCUCCCUUACUUGCACUUCACGUAACGUUUUUAAGCGAUGCCGUUGUGAGUGUUUUUUCCUAUUAUUAUUAUCCUUCCUUUCACUGUGACCUAAAAAUAGAAGCAUAGUUUUGAUGGUGCGCCAGAAAUAGACUGACCGGUAUCACUUGUAUAAAAAAAAGGAGGCGAUCCCGAGAAAACUUGGACGUAACACUUCUAGGGAGAGGACUCGCUGCACCACGAGGAGUCGUACUGACAGAGGAGUGCCGCUGGAUGAGGAGAAAAAAGAGGAGGAGGAAGAGGAGGAGAGACGGGAGUGAAGGAGCUGUUGCUGCAGCAGAGAACCGGCGCACCGCAUCACGGGGGAAACCCAGGAGCUGUCCAGCAGCAAUGGUGCUGAAACCACACCAAGUGGCGGUAGUGGGCUGUUACUGGAGGCAACAACAUGCAAAACCAUAACAGAAGGACAAAGGUGGAAACCUGGCGAAUUGUGUCGACCCCGCUUCUGCUGCUGCUGCCCAUGAUGAUGAUGAUGAUGAUGAUGAUGAUGAUGAUGAUGAUGACGAUGACGCUGUUGGAGCCUCCAGCUGUGCACCGGAGGAGAAAAAUGGGGAGACCCACACUUAUGGAUGUUUUCAACGAGGAGUGCAAGGACAGAAAAAAAAAGGAUACCGAACUCCCCCCUCCUCCCACUUCUUCCUCAUCCCGACAACAGGGACCAGAGGUGAGGAUUGAUGCAGGGGAAAUCCUGACUGACUGAAACACGUCUGAUGACGUCCGAUCUCCCUCCUCCUUCUUUUGCCCCCUGCCUCUUCAGUUUCUCCUCCUCAGUCUCCCCUUCUCUUGUGCCACAGGAUAAAGAGCUGAAAUGAUAAUCGUAAGAGGGGAGAAAGUGGAAACAGCACUGAGAUCCAGGAAAGGUCUGGGAAGUUAAACAGGAUGAUGAGACAGAAGCCACUUAGGUGCCUGCUCUUAACAGGGCUACUCGGCUGGAUGUAACACACACAAACAGAUGCAGCUGCUGUCCUCUUUCGGAUCAAUCAGGGAUGUAGCUGCUGGGCUGCGAGGACACGACGGGAAGGUGGACUAACCAAAUGUGUCUGUGUGUGUGUGUGUGUGUGUGUGUGUGUGUUAUGUAAAAAUGAAUCAUCUUUAAUGUUAUCAGUUCAUACCCACUUUGAGGCUACGUUUUUCGUUGUGUUACACUGUACUGUAAAUGUUGUGUAUUACCUUUUUCGAUGUGGAAUUUCAGACAAAUAUUUCUGUGUAAUAACUUGGCCAACAUCCCAGCAUGUAAUUUGAUAAAUGUGUAUUAACGUGGAGAUUAAUUUAAAGUAUUGUGUGUGUAAGGAUAUUCCAGAAAUCUAAAUUACUUUGUGUACAUUUUAUUUUGUGACAGAUCACAUUUUAUAAGUGUAUUUUUACUUUGAAUGGCUGGUCAGUGAUCAGUUUCAUUUUCAUCCAGUUUGCAAAUGUUGCACAAGUUGCUGCUGCUGCAUUGCCCGGUCUCCUCCAUCUCUCUCCACUUGUGUCAGAGAAUCUGAGCAGCUGCAUGACGACUUCCAGCAUGUGGACUCAGUUUCAUACUCUCCAUCCUCUGCUGAGUACACGACAAGCUUCACUUAGUACCACACAGCCUCGGUUUGUCAGGAUUUCAUGUUUAGUUUCAGUGUGUCUGUGUGCACGAGAGAGGGGGGCAGGGAGAGGGAGCAUGGCGGCACAGGGGGGAGCGUUGGAGUGUAUUGCGCCCAGCCUCUCUCUGGGUCGGAGUGGGGAACCGAGAGCGCAGACAUGAGGAGAAAGUCGUGACAGUGGGUUUGAUGAAACACCCGGCCCCUGUGAACACUACUGGAUUAAUAUUGUAUGGAUGUGAUUUUUUUGAAUCGAUGUGAUAUGAACAUACAAUAAA